GACGAACGCUGGCGGCGUGCUUAACACAUGCAAGUCGAACGGAAAGGCCCGGCCUUGGUGGGGUGCUCGAGGGGCGAACGGGUGAGUAACACGUGGGUAACCUGUCCCUGACUUUGGGAUAACUUCAGGAAACUGGGGCUAAUAGCGGAUAGGAGCUCUCGCUGCAUGGUGGGGGUUGGAUAGUUUCGGCGGUUGGGGAUGGACUCGCGGCCUAUCGGAUUGUUGGUGGGGUAGUGGCUUACCAAGGCUUUGACGGGUAGCCGACCUGAGCGGGUGACCGGCCACAUUGGGACUGAGAUGCGGCCCAGCCCCCUACGGGAGGCAGCAGUGGAGAAUAUUGCACAAUGGGCGGAAGCCUGAUGCAGCCACGCCGCGUGCGGGAUGACGGCCUUCGGGUUGUAAACCGCUUUCGCCUGUGACGAAGCGUGAGUGACGGUAAUGGGUAAAGAAGCACCGGCUAACUACGUG
rnacentral:rRNA from 1 species